rnacentral:rRNA from 1 species
GAUGAACGCUGGCGGCGUGCCUAAUACAUGCAAGUCGAGCGAACAGACGAGGAGCUUGCUCCUUCGACGUUAGCGGCGGACGGGUGAGUAACACGUAGGUAACCUACCUAUAAGACUGGGAUAACUUCGGGAAACCGGAGCUAUUACCGGAUAAUAUUUCGAACCGCAUGGUUCGAUAGUGAAAGAUGGCUUUGCUAUCACUUAUAGAUGGACCUGCGCCGUAUUAGCUAGUUGGUAAGGUAACGGCUUACCAAGGCAACGAUACGUAGCCGACCUGAGAGGGUGAUCGGCCACACUGGAACUGAGACACGGUCCAGACUCCUACGGGAGGCAGCAGUAGGGAAUCUUCCGCAAUGGGCGAAAGCCUGACGGAGCAACGCCGCGUGAGUGAUGAAGGUCUUCGGAUCGUAAAACUCUGUUAUUAGGGAAGAACAAACGUGUAAGUAACUGUGCACGUCUUGACGGUACCUAAUCAGAAAGCCACGGCUAACUACGUG